rnacentral:rRNA from 1 species
UACGUAGGGUGCAAGCGUUGUCCGGAAUUAUUGGGCGUAAAGAGCUCGUAGGCGGUGUGUCACGUCGUUCGUGAAAACCUGCAGCUUAACUGUGGGCGUGCGGUCGAUACGGGCAUCACUGGAGUUCGGCAGGGGAGACUGGAAUUUACGGUGUAGCGGUGAAAUGCGUAGAUAUCGUAAGGAAGACCAGUGGCGAAGGCGGGUCUCUGGACAGUUCCUGACGCUGAGGCACGAAGGUCAGGGGAGCAAACGGG